UACGUAGGAGACAAACGUUAUCCGGAGUUACUGGGCGUAAAGGGCGUGUAGGUGGUUUCGUAAGUCUGGCGUGAAAUUUUUCGGCUUAACCGGGAAAGGUCGUCGGAUACUGCGGAACUAGAGGACGGUAGAGGCGUGUGGAAUUCCGGGUGUAGUGGUGAAAUGCGUAGAGAUCCGGAGGAACACCAGUGGCGAAGGCGACACGCUGGGCCGUACCUGACACUGAUGCGCGAAAGCAUGGGGAGCAAACAGG
rnacentral:rRNA from 1 species